CCCAUCCGCCGCCGCCAGCAAGGCUCAAGGCCCCCGGAUGCCGAGCUGCUGCUUCCUCAUCGGGCUCGGCGUCGCGCCACGCCCGCCGCCCGCCGCUCUCGGCCUGCUCCUCCGCCGCCGAAUGGCCUCCAACCGAGCGUUCCAGCUCCGCCUCAACCCGCUCACCGGCGACUCCGAGUGGCUCGUCGUCGACGAGGAGGAAGAGGCGCCGAGCCACCACAGGCAGCUCCUCGUCGCCACCUCCUACCUCGACAUGCUCAACGACACCGCCCGCAACCGCGCCUACCGCCACGCCAUCGACGCCACUGUCACGGACCCCACCUCACGCGUCCUCGACAUCGGAGCUGGGACUGGGUUGCUCUCCAUGAUGGCGGCGCGAGCUUUGGCAGCUGCUGGAGGAGGUGAAGGCAGGGGAAGCGUCUCAGCAUGCGAGGCCUACCUUCCAAUGGCCAAACUAACACGGAGGGUGUUCAGAGCCAAUGGAAUGGAAAACAAGAUCAAAGUAUUUCUCAAGCGUUCAGACGAGCUCAGAGUUGGGGUUGAGCUUGAUUCUCGAGCUGAUAUACUGGUAAGUGAAAUUCUCGAUUCUGAACUCUUGGGUGAGGGGCUCAUUCCUACUCUACAGCAUGCGCACGACAUGUUAUUGGUGAAAAAUCCAAAGACAGUUCCGUAUCGAGCUACUACAUACGGAGUGUUAGUUGAGAGCACGUUCUUGUGGAAGAUGCAUGAUCUGCACAGCAAUGAAGCAAACACUGAAGAUGGUGUGUGGCUUACUCCUGACGGGACACAAAAUAUUCUUUCUGUGAAGUUACAACAACACGCUAUGCAAUGUGAUGCACUGGCAGAUGAAAUACGAUUGCUGUCAGAACCCUUCAAAGUUUUUGAAUUUGACUUUUGGAAACGACCAGAUAGUCAUCGUGAAACAAAGAUUGAGAUAAAAGCAACUGCUGAUGGACAUGCGCAUGCUAUUAUUUCAUGGUGGGUGCUUCAACUGGAUUCUGCUGGAUCAAUCUUUUACUCAACGGCUCCUAGAUGGGUGAGACAAUCGAGUGGUGUCGAUUUACCACAAUGUGCCAAUGGCAUGAAGGAUUGGUGUGAUCAUUGGAAGCAGUGUGUUUGGUUUAUACAAGGGACAGGGGCUCCUGCUAUGAAAGAUCAAAUUCUUGCCUUGAGAGCUAGUCACGACCAAACUAUUAUCUCAUAUCAGUUGAAUAUGAAUGAUGAAAUAAGCAGUAGAAGCCCCAAAAGUGACCAUCUAACAUUGUUGCCAGAAAGGAUAGCGCUUUAUGGUGAUAAAGCUUGGAGAUCAGCAUUGAUAGGUGCAGUUAGAAAUGCUAUGAGUGGAAGAUCUUCUCCAACGUGCAUUGUGGCCGAUGACAGUGUGCUACUAGCCGUCAUAGUUUCUUCUCUGUUACCAUCUUCAAAAGUUAUUACGAUGUUUCCUGGUCUUAGGGACAAGGGUUUCAACUAUCUUCGAGCUGUUGCGGAUGCAAAUAAAUUUUCCAUGGACCGGAUUGAAGUCAUUGGUAAAAAAGCCUCAUCCCUUACUAUGAAUGACUUAAAAGAUGAAAAGAUUAAUCUAGUAGUAGGGGAACCUUUCUACCAUGGAAGUGAAGGGAUGCUGCCAUGGCAAAAUCUGCGUUUCUGUGGUCUAAGUCCCACACGGUUAGUUAUAGUUGCAUGUACAGACCUUGGAGAACCACCCAUACCAGCUGGGUUAACUGUUUCGGAAGAAGAAAAGACAAGUUUGAGACCCGGAAUGAAAGAACUCUGCUUGAUCCAUUGCUAUCUGAGGAUGCAUUCAUCAUGCCUUGUAAAGGAAUAUUAAGGUUAUGUGCCAUGUCACUUCCGGAUUUGUGGAGAAGCCGUUGCAGCCUUAAAGAUGUUGAGGGCUUUGAUCACUCGGUUGUUAAUGAUACUUUUGGAGCCUGUGGUGAUCUGUCUGGAGAGCAACAAGGCCCUUGCCUGCCAUAUUACGUGUGGCAAUGCGGUUAUACCAAGAAAUUAAGUCUAGUCUACUCUCUCAUGGACUUUAAUUUUUCUGAGCCUAUUCACUCUUGCUUUGGCAAAACAAAGAUCAAGUUUGCCCAUGAUGGAAUAUGCCAUGGUUUCGCAGUUUGGAUUGACUGGGUACUUGACGAGAAAAAUUCAAUUGUGAUAAGCACCGGACCAGAGAGCAGAUACUGGAAGCAAGGAGUGCAGCUGCUUAGCAGGCCUGUGCAAGUGAAUCCAGUGAGUUCGGUGAUGCAUGUUGAGGCGCAUUUCGAUCCUGACACGGCGGAGCUCGUGUUUAAAUCCAUGGUCUCGUGAUGUGAUCGUGUGGUGCAAAUUGUACGCGUGACCAACCAAGCUCUUGCAUGUGUAGAACUUGGAUAGUAGAGCUGUAGUUUGGUUGUGUUGGUCAGCAGCUCCUGAUGUGGGAUACGUUCCCUGUGAUUGCAGCAGGGACCUUGAUCAGAUCUGCUAUAAUACUGCGCUUAGUGUGUGGGCUAACAAGGUGGUUGAGCGUAUCGUUUGUAUUGUAGAGAACUAGAGAUUGACUUUUAUAUUGCUGCUUCAUAACAUAUCCCAAACA